AUGAUGCAUCAUACAGCAAUUCAAAAGACUGAAAAGCCUCUCCAUGUUACCAAUAAGGACAAGCUGAACAUGUCUCAAAAGUUCUACAGUCUGCAGAUGGUCCAUGCUGAAGCACAGAUGACCCAGAAGAAGACUUCCAAAAUUAAAGGAAACAUUUACAAGCUAUGGGAAGCCAAGGUAUUACUUCUCCCCCUGCAUUUUAUUUUAGUCCCACAGAACAGUCAAGAAAGGCCCAGGGGUUGUAAAUGCUGA
rnacentral:lncRNA from 1 species